GUGGUCAAGUUAAAGCAACAACUUCAAGUGCAGACAAAUAAAUUGAAAGAACUGGACUUACAGAAGACUGAGUUGGAAAAACAAAAACAACAACUUCAAGCACAAACAGCAGAGCUGAUCACCAUUAAAGCCAGAACAAAUGUCACAGAAAACCAGGGUGGAGGCUCUAAAGAG